rnacentral:rRNA from 1 species
ACUUCCCUGGAGACUUGAUCUCCCUGAAGGGCCGUGGAAGACCACCACGUUGAUAGGUCGGGUGUGGAAGCGCAGUAAUGCGUUAAGCUAACCGAUACUAAUUACCCGUGAGGCUUGAUCCU